rnacentral:rRNA from 1 species
GCACCUUCGGGUGUGAAUUAGCGGCGAACGGGUGAGGAACACGUGAAGAAUCUGCCUUCAACUCUGGGAUAACUCCGGGAAACCGGGGCUAAUACCGGAUAUGAGCCUUGAUCGCAUGAUCGGGGCUGGAAAGUUUUUCGGUUGAAGAUGACUUCGCGGCCUAUCAGCUUGUUGGUGAGGUAAUGGCUCACCAAGGCGACGACGGGUAGCCGGCCUGAGAGGGCGACCGGCCACACUGGGACUGAGACACGGCCCAGACUCCUACGGGAGGCAGCAGUGGGGAAUAUUGGGCAAUGGAGGAAACUCUGACCCAGCGACGCCGCGUGAGGGAUGAAGGCCUUCGGGUUGUAAACCUCUUUCAGUAGGGAAGAAGCGAAAGUGACGGUACCUACAGAAGAAGCACCGGCUAACUAUGUGCCAGCAGCCGCGGUAAUACAUAGGGUGCAAGCGUUGUCCGGAAUUAUUGGGCGUAAAGAGCUCGUAGGUGGUUCGAUACGUCGGAUGUGAAAAUCAGGGGCUCAACCCCUGACCUGCAUCCGAUACGGUCGAGCUAGAGUUUGGUAGGGGAGACUGGAAUUCCUGGUGUAGCAGUGGAAUGCGCAGAUAUCAGGAGGAACACCGAUGGCGAAGGCAGGUCUCUGGGCCAAUACUGACACUGAGGAGCGAAAGC